GACGUAGGGUGCGAGCGUUGUCCGGAUUUAUUGGGCGUAAAGAGCUCGUAGGUGGUUUGUCGCGUUGUUCGUGAAAACUCACAGCUUAACUGUGGGCGUGCGGGCGAUACGGGCAGACUGGAGUACUGCAGGGGAGACUGGAAUUCCUGGUGUAGCGGUGAAAUGCGCAGAUAUCAGGAGGAACACCGAUGGCGAAGGCAGGUCUCUGGGCCACUACUGACGCUGAGAAGCGAAAGCAUGGGGAGCGAACAGG
rnacentral:rRNA from 1 species